rnacentral:rRNA from 1 species
UACGUAGGGCGCAAGCGUUGUCCGGAAUUAUUGGGCGUAAAGAGCUCGUAGGCGGUUUGUCGCGUCUGCCGUGAAAGCCUAGGGCUUAACCCUGGGUCUGCGGUGGAUACGGGCAGGCUAGAGGCAGGUAGGGGAGAACGGAAUUCCCGGUGUAGCGGUGAAAUGCGCAGAUAUCGGGAGGAACACCGGUGGCGAAGGCGGUUCUCUGGGCCUGUACUGACGCUGAGGAGCGAAAGCGUGGGGAG